UACGUAGGGGGCAAGCGUUGUCCGGAAUCAUUGGGCGUAAAGCGCGUGUAGGCGGUUACGUAAGUCUGCUGUGAAAGUCGGAGGCUCAACCUUCGAAAGCCGGUGGAUACUGCGUGACUAGAGUACGGAAGAGGAGAGUGGAAUUCCUGGUGUAGCGGUGAAAUGCGCAGAUAUCGGGAGGAACACCAGUAGCGAAGGCGGCUCGCUGGGCCACUCCUGACGCUGAGACGCGAAAGCAUGGGGAGCGAACAGG
rnacentral:rRNA from 1 species